GCCUGGCAGCCCCGCUUCUUCCAGAUGACCACUCAGGAUCUGCCCCACCGCUCUGUUUAUGGCCCAGCCACCCUCACAAGAACUGCAGACUCAGGCUCCAGCCCAGACCAGCUGGGGGAUCUUGAUGGGCCACAGGAUCCUUCUGAGACAUGAGGUGUAGAAGAAAUUGUCUUACUCAGCCCUGGAAGUCCUACUCA
rnacentral:lncRNA from 1 species